UACAGAGGGUGCAAGCGUUAAUCGGGAUUACUGGGCGUAAAGCGUGCGUAGAUGGUUGCGUAAGUCAGAUGUGAAAGCCCCGGGCUCAACCUGGGAAUUGCAUUUGAGACUGCGUAGCUAGGGUGCGGAAGAGGGAAGCGGAAUUUCCGGUGUAGCGGUGAAAUGCGUAGAUAUCGGAAGGAACACCAGUGGCGAAAGCGGCUUCCUGGUCCAGCACCGACGUUCAGGCACGAAAGCGUGGGGAGCAAACAGG
rnacentral:rRNA from 1 species